CUCGUUGAAGCCGAAGGGGCUCUCGAUUUGCUUUCGUUGGGGAACGCGAGUGUAGGCCGUGGCCGUCGCCGGCUUUCUCGAUUACCGCUAUCGGCGAACGGGCGAGGACAUACAAAGAUGCCUUUUAACCCGCGAUCAGUUGCGCGACGGAACGGAAAAACCCGGUGAUUUUUCCCUCGCCGCGGGAUCCUCGCCGGUUAAAGCUAUUAUAAUGUACCACGCCAGGUAUUCCGCCGCGACAGAAUUGCCUCGGGAAGUGAUUUUCGACUACGGAGAAACGUUAAUGGCGGUGAUAAUCGGGACGGAUACAAAGCUAGGAGGCCCUUCGAAUCUCAAGAAACAUGUUGUUCUAAUUUUGAUGAAACAUUGGAAUCCGCGGAGAUGGUUGUACCUGAUGAGGAUUUCGUACUAAACCUGCAAGGACAAGGUUCAGAAAGUAAUGGAGGCAGAAGAAGAAAAUAGACGAUCACGAGGCGAGGAAAGUCCCAUUAGCAGCGAGAGGUUACUGUUCAACAGCACUGUCCCAUAGAGGCAGAAUAAGAAGAGUAAUGGUAGUGAAAUGGUGAAAUUAACGGUGACGCAGUGAGAAAAAGUCCCUAGGCACCGGAAAUUAUGCUGACUAGCAAUACUUUAGACAAUGACGUUCGCAGUUACGUUCCAAUCUACGGACCAAAUUAUCGUUCCCGACAUCUAAUGGACUCGAGGAAGAAGAAGCAGAGGUUAUCGAGUUUCAUCUAGAAGACGGGCGUUUGGCCGCGCUAUGCGACGCGUCUACCUCAAGAGACGAGGAAUCGCGACGCGGUGACGACAAGCGGCGGUGGAGCUUUUCCCUUCGUCGGACGAUUACGCGGGGAAGAAAGUAACAGUACUCGUACUGUUCGCGGGGACCGCAUAAAUCUCGAGGUUCCAAGCAAAUUGUCCCGGGGCCUCGGUGGAUGGAACGAGAGACAUCGUCGUUGGAAAGAGGCGCGCGUUUGUGCGCGCAAGAAUAACAGCUAACAGGAAACGUUGUACGUUGCCUGUUGUGUAUCUGCCGUGUAGCGCGUUUGUAGCCGGCUAUGGUAGUCCCGUUCCGCGGCUGUUGCCGGAUACUCGCGGCAACGAGAGAUCUCUUGGCAGCGGAACUUGGGGCCCCGAUUUAAUCUCUCUCGUUUUCUCCUACUCCCGGCGCAUCUAUCCGAGAUGAAUUCCGCGGAUGAACGUAUAUGGCGCGCGGUAAUUGUCUCCAUAGGUGCCGCGCCGUAUAGGCUGACGUGGCCGGUCGAUGCGUUCGCUCAGGUAUUACCAGGCGGCAUGCAACCCUGGCAACCUAAAAAAUUGCAUGUACCUAACUCCUUUUUCACUUGUAAGUAAUUGAAUAUUAACCCCAUCCCGCCUACGAUUUAUUUCUCAGCUGUGAUCGAUGCGACUACUUUGUCAUCAAUAACUUAUUGAGAAAAGAAACGAAUUCUAGGUAUACUCUAUGCCCAUGUUUGAUUUAAAAUAUAAUGACCGAUAAUAGAAGGAUAGUAUUUCAUUUGAAUUUAUGAGAAUUAAGUAAUAUUUACGAUUGUUGAAUUCUGGUUCAAAUCUUCAGGAGCCUGUCACGAUACUGUAGGGCAAGGUAACUCUUUAGGUACCAAAUAAAAACUGUUAGGAAAAAUACAUUUAUUUUCACAAUAUACAUUUACUAGCUUACACCCUAUGUGAAACGUUUCUAAACUGCAAGAAAUAAAAUAUUCUUGUGGUAAAGUGAAUAAUAGAUUGC